rnacentral:lncRNA from 1 species
CCGGCAUGUCCAUCGGAAUCCAAACAAAAAUAUCCGUAUUCUUUUGUAGAAAAUUGAUGAGCUGUGUCCGUACCUCUUCUCCCAGGUUGGAGCCGAUCUUCACCACGUGCUCUUCAUUCCCAUCGUUCAAAGGAAUUGAGACAAGAUCUUCAAUUGGCUCACCCCGUUCUUCAACAAGGUCAUCAUGGGUGUCUAAUCCAUCAACCAGAUAGGGGUCAGACUGACCAUUUCUUUGUAAGGCUAUAUUAUAGCAGUGUCUUGCUAGGACUUGAUCUCCUCUGACCUCUCCGACCCCUUGGCUUGUAGAAAAUUUCAACUUCAAAUGGUAGGUCGAUACCACAGCUUGGAGGGUGUUGAGGCUAGGU